GAGCCGAAGAAGGACGGGACUAACACCGAUAUGCUUUGGGGAGCUGUACGUAAGCGUUGAUCCAGAGAUUUCCGAAUGGGGGAACCCACUAUCUUUAGUCGGAUAGUAUCCUUACGUGAAUACAUAGCGUGAGGAAGGCAGACCCAGGGAACUGAAACAUCUAAGUACCUGGAGGAAGAGAAAGAAAAAUCGAUUUCCUGAGUAGCGGCGAGCGAAACGGAAAGAGCCCAAACCAAGAAGCUUGCUUCUUGGGGUUGUAGGACACUCUAUACGGAGUUACAAAAGAAAGUUAUAAAUGAAGCGGUCUGGAAAGGCCCGCCAAAGACGGUAACAGCCCGGUAGUUGAAAUGGCUUUCCCUCCAGAGUGGAUCCUGAGUACGGCGGAACACGUGAAAUUCCGUCGGAAUCCGGGAGGACCAUCUCCCAAGGCUAAAUACUCCCUAGUGACCGAUAGUGAACCAGUACCGUGAGGGAAAGGUGAAAAGCACCCCGGAAGGGGAGUGAAACAGUUCCUGAAACCGUGUGCCUACAAGUAGUUAGAGCCCGUUAAUGGGUGAUAGCGUGCCUUUUGUAGAAUGAACCGGCGAGUUACGAUUUGUUGCAAGGUUAAGCGGAAAAAGCGGAGCCGUAGCGAAAGCGAGUCUGAAUAGGGCGCAUAAGUAACAGGUCGUAGACCCGAAACCAGGUGAUCUACCCAUGUCCAGGAUGAAGGUAAGGUAAUACUUACUGGAGGUCCGAACCCACGCACGUUGAAAAGUGCGGGGAUGAGGUGUGGGUAGCGGAGAAAUUCCAAUCGAACUUGGAGAUAGCUGGUUCUCUCCGAAAUAGCUUUAGGGCUAGCCUCGAGGUAAAGAGUCAUGGAGGUAGAGCACUGUUUGGACUAGGGGCCCUUCUCGGGUUACCGAAUUCAGAUAAACUCCGAAUGCCAUGUACUUAUACUCGGGAGUCAGACUGCGAGUGAUAAGAUCCGUAGUCGAAAGGGAAACAGCCCAGACCACCAGUUAAGGUCCCCAAAUAUAUGUUAAGUGGAAAAGGAUGUGGGGUUGCUUAGACAACCAGGAUGUUGGCUUAGAAGCAGCCACCAUUGAAAGAGUGCGUAAUAGCUCACUGGUCGAGUGACCCCGCGCCGAAAAUGUACCGGGGCUAAACAUAUUACCGAAACUGUGGAUGAACCUCUUUAGAGGUUCGUGGUAGGAGAGCGUUCUAAGGGCGGUGAAGUCAGACCGGAAGGACUGGUGGAGCGCUUAGAAGUGAGAAUGCCGGUAUGAGUAGCGAAAGAAGGGUGAGAAUCCCUUCCACCGAAUAUCUAAGGUUUCCUGAGGAAGGCUCGUCCGCUCAGGGUUAGUCGGG
rnacentral:rRNA from 1 species